AAUAGAAAGUACACACGAAAUGAUAACACAACAUAUAUAGUGUUCGUUACAAAGCCAGCUAUUUUUAUGUAGCCAGUGAAAUUAAAAUAGUUGGGAAAGGCUCAAACUAAAUGCGUGCUAAAAAUGUUAAUUGUGCUUGUUAUUUGUCAUUGUUGCAUGUAGAUAUCAACCAAAACAAAUACCCAAGGCGACAAAAGAAAUGUCCAAUGCAAAAUCCUAACGUACACAAGCAAAAGAAAAAUAUGCCAAACAUGGAAAUCCAUUUGUGAAACAUAUCUUAAAAACAAUUACAAAAGAAGCCUCUUUGCCUUUAUAUUGCUUAGUAACAACAAGAAGUAUGUUCCAUACAUGUCCACUGAGAUUGGAUUUUCUAUGAAAGUUAGAUACGAAAACAAAUGGCCUGCCGCAAAAGCCUGUAUAAAAUGUGUGCAAAAUAAUAGGAAUGGACGCUGGAAAGUCCAUGACAAAUUGUCAAAUCGCCUUAUUACUGUGUGUGCCUAAUUGGGUGCAACUGCCGUCCCUGCCUAUUCAUUGGCAUAGUUCCUGUAUUGCCCCAAAAAAUAUGUUCGUAGGUAGCAGGUAACAAAAUCUAUGGGUGAAUACCAUCUAACGAUGUCCAUACAAAAUGAUGCACACGCAUGUCUGUCCGUCAAAGCUAACAACACAAUCAAAUACCUAAGGAUCUGUAAUGGGAAGAUAAGUAUAUUUUUUGAAAUUCAUCUAUUGCAAUGUUCUAAUUCGUUUUCUCCUCUUUUCAGGUAAUCUUUCUCAUAAAUUAUUUUAAAUAUAUAUCUUUCAUUUCUAAAUUUCAGGUAACAUCACGAAACAUCUAGUAUGCUGCUAUGAUCUGACAUCUAUAAAAUAAUUGCGACCUAAUUGUGGCAAGAGCCAUUGAUAAGGACAAUAUGCAUAGGUGUGAUGGCUGAAAUCUUGUAACGGAUCAAGUGACAAUAGAGAAUGGUUUAAAAAUAUGUAUUUGGCUUUAAGAAUUAUUUUCAAUUUAACAAUUUCAAAUUAAAUUUAAAAAAUUACUUUAAGCUGAAA